rnacentral:piRNA from 1 species
UGGCAGAGCUUGUCUCCAAGGGCUAGA